rnacentral:rRNA from 1 species
UACGUAGGGGGCAAGCGUUGUCCGGAGUUACUGGGCGUAAAGCGCACGCAGGCGGUCUCUUAAGUUUGGAGUGACAGUUGGUGGCUUAACUGCCAAAGUGCUUCGAAAACUGAGAGACUUGAGGGCUUCAGAGGGACACGGAAUUCCGGGUGGAGUGGUGAAAUGCGUAGAGAUCCGGAGGAACACCAAAGGCGAAGGCAGUGUCCUGGGGAGCACCUGACGCUCAGGUGCGAAAGCCAGGGGAGCGAACGGG